GGGUUGUGAGGUUAAGCGACUAAGCGUACACGGUGGAUGCCCUGGCAGUCAGAGGCGAUGAAGGACGUGCUAAUCUGCGAUAAGCGUCGGUAAGGUGAUAUGAACCGUUAUAACCGGCGAUUUCCGAAUGGGGAAACCCAGUGUGUUUCGACACACUAUCAUUAACUGAAUCCAUAGGUUAAUGAGGCGAACCGGGGGAACUGAAACAUCUAAGUACCCCGAGGAAAAGAAAUCAACCGAGAUUCCCCCAGUAGCGGCGAGCGAACGGGGAGGAGCCCAGAGCCUGAAUCAGUGUGUGUGUUAGUGGAAGCGUCUGGAAAGGCGCGCGAUACAGGGUGACAGCCCCGUACACAAAAAUGCACAUGCUGUGAGCUCGAUGAGUAGGGCGGGACACGUGGUAUCCUGUCUGAAUAUGGGGGGACCAUCCUCCAAGGCUAAAUACUCCUGACUGACCGAUAGUGAACCAGUACCGUGAGGGAAAGGCGAAAAGAACCCCGGCGAGGGGAGUGAAAAAGAACCUGAAACCGUGUACGUACAAGCAGUGGGAGCACAGAGCAAUCUGUGUGACUGCGUACCUUUUGUAUAAUGGGUCAGCGACUUAUAUUCUGUAGCAAGGUUAACCGAAUAGGGGAGCCGAAGGGAAACCGAGUCUUAACUGGGCGUUAAGUUGCAGGGUAUAGACCCGAAACCCGGUGAUCUAGCCAUGGGCAGGUUGAAGGUUGGGUAACACUAACUGGAGGACCGAACCGACUAAUGUUGAAAAAUUAGCGGAUGACUUGUGGCUGGGGGUGAAAGGCCAAUCAAACCGGGAGAUAGCUGGUUCUCCCCGAAAGCUAUUUAGGUAGCGCCUCGUGAAUUCAUCUCCGGGGGUAGAGCACUGUUUCGGCAAGGGGGUCAUCCCGACUUACCAACCCGAUGCAAACUGCGAAUACCGGAGAAUGUUAUCACGGGAGACACACGGCGGGUGCUAACGUCCGUCGUGAAGAGGGAAACAACCCAGACCGCCAGCUAAGGUCCCAAAGUCAUGGUUAAGUGGGAAACGAUGUGGGAAGGCCCAGACAGCCAGGAUGUUGGCUUAGAAGCAGCCAUCAUUUAAAGAAAGCGUAAUAGCUCACUGGUCGAGUCGGCCUGCGCGGAAGAUGUAACGGGGCUAAACCAUGCACCGAAGCUGCGGCAGCGACGCUGAUGCGUUGUUGGGUAGGGGAGCGUUCUGUAAGCCUGUGAAGGUGUGCUGUGAGGCAUGCUGGAGGUAUCAGAAGUGCGAAUGCUGACAUAAGUAACGAUAAAGCGGGUGAAAAGCCCGCUCGCCGGAAGACCAAGGGUUCCUGUCCAACGUUAAUCGGGGCAGGGUGAGUCGACCCCUAAGGCGAGGCCGAAAGGCGUAGUCGAUGGGAAACAGGUUAAUAUUCCUGUACUUGGUGUUACUGCGAAGGGGGGACGGAGAAGGCUAUGUUGGCCGGGCGACGGUUGUCCCGGUUUAAGCGUGUAGGCUGGUUUUCCAGGCAAAUCCGGAAAACUAAGGCUGAGGCGUGAUGACGAGGCACUACGGUGCUGAAGCAACAAAUGCCCUGCUUCCAGGAAAAGCCUCUAAGCAUCAGGUAACAUCAAAUCGUACCCCAAACCGACACAGGUGGUCAGGUAGAGAAUACCAAGGCGCUUGAGAGAACUCGGGUGAAGGAACUAGGCAAAAUGGUGCCGUAACUUCGGGAGAAGGCACGCUGAUAUGUAGGUGAAGUCCCUCGCGGAUGGAGCUGAAAUCAGUCGAAGAUACCAGCUGGCUGCAACUGUUUAUUAAAAACACAGCACUGUGCAAACACGAAAGUGGACGUAUACGGUGUGACGCCUGCCCGGUGCCGGAAGGUUAAUUGAUGGGGUCAGCGCAAGCGAAGCUCUUGAUCGAAGCCCCGGUAAACGGCGGCCGUAACUAUAACGGUCCUAAGGUAGCGAAAUUCCUUGUCGGGUAAGUUCCGACCUGCACGAAUGGCGUAAUGAUGGCCAGGCUGUCUCCACCCGAGACUCAGUGAAAUUGAACUCGCUGUGAAGAUGCAGUGUACCCGCGGCAAGACGGAAAGACCCCGUGAACCUUUACUAUAGCUUGACACUGAACAUUGAGCCUUGAUGUGUAGGAUAGGUGGGAGGCUUUGAAGUGUGGACGCCAGUCUGCAUGGAGCCGACCUUGAAAUACCACCCUUUAAUGUUUGAUGUUCUAACGUUGACCCGUAAUCCGGGUUGCGGACAGUGUCUGGUGGGUAGUUUGACUGGGGCGGUCUCCUCCUAAAGAGUAACGGAGGAGCACGAAGGUUGGCUAAUCCUGGUCGGACAUCAGGAGGUUAGUGCAAUGGCAUAAGCCAGCUUGACUGCGAGCGUGACGGCGCGAGCAGGUGCGAAAGCAGGUCAUAGUGAUCCGGUGGUUCUGAAUGGAAGGGCCAUCGCUCAACGGAUAAAAGGUACUCCGGGGAUAACAGGCUGAUACCGCCCAAGAGUUCAUAUCGACGGCGGUGUUUGGCACCUCGAUGUCGGCUCAUCACAUCCUGGGGCUGAAGUAGGUCCCAAGGGUAUGGCUGUUCGCCAUUUAAAGUGGUACGCGAGCUGGGUUUAGAACGUCGUGAGACAGUUCGGUCCCUAUCUGCCGUGGGCGCUGGAGAACUGAGGGGGGCUGCUCCUAGUACGAGAGGACCGGAGUGGACGCAUCACUGGUGUUCGGGUUGUCAUGCCAAUGGCACUGCCCGGUAGCUAAAUGCGGAAGAGAUAAGUGCUGAAAGCAUCUAAGCACGAAACUUGCCCCGAGAUGAGUUCUCCCUGACUCCUUGAGAGUCCUGAAGGAACGUUGAAGACGACGACGUUGAUAGGCCGGGUGUGUAAGCGCAGCGAUGCGUUGAGCUAACCGGUACUAAUGAACCGUGAGGCUUAACCUUACAACGCCGAAGCUGUU
rnacentral:rRNA from 1 species